rnacentral:rRNA from 1 species
UGGGGAAUAUUGGGCAAUGGGCGAAAGCCUGACCCAGCAACGCCGCGUGAGGGAAGAAGGGUUUCGGCUCGUAAACCUCUGUCCUAUGGGACGAAGGAAGUGACGGUACCAUAGGAGGAAGCCCCGGCUAACUACGUGCCAGCAGCCGCGGUAAUACGUAGGGGGCGAGCGUUGUCCGGAAUGAUUGGGCGUAAAGGGCGCGUAGGCGGCCUGUUAAGUCUGGAGUGAAAGUCCUGCUUUCAAGGUGGGAAUUGCUUUGGAUACUGAUGGGCUGGAGUGCAGGAGAGGAAAGCGGAAUUACCGGUGUAGCGGUGAAAUGCGUAGAGAUCGGUAGGAACACCAGUGGCGAAGGCGGCUUUCUGGACUGAAACUGACGCUGAGGCGCGAAAGCGUGGGGAGCAAACAGGAUUAGAUACCC